rnacentral:rRNA from 1 species
AUACGGAGGGUGCAAGCGUUACUCGGAAUCACUGGGCGUAAAGCGCGCGCAGGCGGCCAUUUAAGUUGGAUGUGAAAGCCUACGGCUCAACCGUAGAACUGCAUCCAAAACUAUUUGGCUAGAGUGUGGGAGAGGAAGAUGGAAUUAGUUGUGUAGGGGUAAAAUCCGUAGAGAUAACUAGGAAUACCAAAAGCGAAGGCAAUCUUCUGGAACACUGCUGACGCUGAGGCGCGAAAGCGUGGGGAGCAAACGGGAUUAGAAACCCUAGUAGUCC